GCCAGCAGCCAUAUCACCCUGUAGCCCAAGACUGGUUGCCCACUGAAGCUAAGCAGGGCUGAGCCUGGUCAGUACCUGGAUGGGAGAUCUCCUGGGAAAACUAGGUUGCUGCUGGAA
rnacentral:rRNA from 1 species